rnacentral:snRNA from 1 species
GGGCUUGCUUCGGCAGCACAUACACUACAAUUGGAAUGAUUCAGAGAAGAUUAGCAUGGCCCCUACACACGGAUGACAUGCCAAUUUGUGAAGCGUCCAUAUUUUUA